GACGAACGCUGGCGGCGUGCUUAACACAUGCAAGUCGAACGGAAAGGCCCUGCGUUUGUGGGGUGCUCGAGUGGCGAACGGGUGAGUAACACGUGAGUAACCUGCCCUUGACUUUGGGAUAACUUCAGGAAACUGGGGCUAAUACCGUAUAGGAUCUCCUGCUGCAUGGUGGGGGUUGGAAAGUUUCGGCGGUUGGGGAUGGACUCGCGGCUUAUCAGCUUGUUGGUGGGGUAGUGGCUUACCAAGGCUUUGACGGGUAGCCGGCCUGAGAGGGUGACCGGCCACAUUGGGACUGCGAUACGGCCCAGACUCCUACGGGAGGCAGCAGUGGGGAAUAUUGCACAAUGGGCGGAAGCCUGAUGCAGCAACGCCGCGUGCGGGAUGACGGCCUUCGGGUUGUAAACCGCUUUCGCCUGUGACGAAGCGUGAGUGACGGUAAUGGGUAAAGAAGCACCGGCUAACUACGUG
rnacentral:rRNA from 1 species